UGAGCUUGAUCCUGGCUCAGGACGAACGCUGGCGGCGUGCCUAAUACAUGCAAGUCGAGCGAAUGGAGGGGAGCUUGCUCCCUGAAGUUAGCGGCGGACGGGUGAGUAACACGUGGGCAACCUGCCCUGUAGACUGGGAUAACAUCGAGAAAUCGGUGCUAAUACCGGAUAAUCAAAGGAAUCACAUGGUUCUUUUGUAAAAGAUGGCUUCGGCUAUCACUAUAGGAUGGGCCCGCGGUGCAUUAGCUAGUUGGUGGGGUAGAGGCUCACCAAGGCAACGAUGCAUAGCCGACCUGAGAGGGUGAUCGGCCACACUGGGACUGAGACACGGCCCAGACUCCUACGGGAGGCAGCAGUAGGGAAUCUUCCGCAAUGGACGAAAGUCUGACGGAGCAACGCCGCGUGAGUGAUGAAGGUUUUCGGAUCGUAAAGCUCUGUUGUUAGGGAAGAACAAGUACCGUUCGAAUAGGGCGGUACCUUGACGGUACCUAACCAGAAAGCCACGGCUAACUACGUGCCAGCAGCCGCGUAAUACGUAGGUGGCAAGCGUUGUCCGGAAUUAUUGGGCGUAAAGCGCGCGCAGGCGGUCUUUUAAGUCUGAUGUGAAAGGUCGGGGCUCAACCCCGAAAGGCCAUUGGAAACUGGGAGACUUGAGUACAGAAGAGGAGAGUGGAAUUCCACGUGUAGCGGUGAAAUGCGUAGAUAUGUGGAGGAACACCAGUGGCGAAGGCGACUCUCUGGUCUGUAACUGACGCUGAGGCGCGAAAGCGUGGGGAGCAAACAGGAUUAGAUACCCUGGUAGUCCACGCCGUAAACGAUGAGUGCUAGGUGUUAGGGGUUUCGAUGCCCUUAGUGCCGAAGUUAACACAUUAAGCACUCCGCCUGGGGAGUACGGUCGCAAGACUGAAACUCAAAGGAAUUGACGGGGGCCCGCACAAGCAGUGGAGCAUGUGGUUUAAUUCGAAGCAACGCGAAGAACCUUACCAGGUCUUGACAUCCUUUGACCACUCUAGAGAUAGAGCUUUCCCCUUCGGGGGACAAAGUGACAGGUGGUGCAUGGUUGUCGUCAGCUCGUGUCGUGAGAUGUUGGGUUAAGUCCCGCAACGAGCGCAACCCUUGAUCUUAGUUGCCAGCAUUCAGUUGGGCACUCUAAGGUGACUGCCGGUGAUAAACCGGAGGAAGGUGGGGAUGACGUCAAAUCAUCAUGCCCCUUAUGACCUGGGCUACACACGUGCUACAAUGGAUGGUACAAAGGGCAGCAAAACCGCGAGGUUGAGCGAAUCCCAUAAAGCCAUUCUCAGUUCGGAUUGUAGGCUGCAACUCGCCUACAUGAAGCCGGAAUUGCUAGUAAUCGCGUCGCC
rnacentral:rRNA from 1 species